AUUCCAAGCAGCACUGUUGUAGGCAAUGAGUUGGAGCAAGUAUAGUUACAACAGCAUACCAAAAAGUCUGAAACAUUGAGCUCCUUUUAGUUUUUCAUGAGAAACCAAUGGAUUUGGGGCUGAGAGCCGCAGAGAGGGACUAACACAUUGGGUCACAAUGACAUUCUUUCCCAUGAGCUGCACACCACCACGCAGAUGCAGCCAUGCUAAGAGACGUGGGGCGUCCUAGCUGAAGCAUGCUGGUCCUACGGUGAAGCCAAACUUCUGGGUUACGUCUUUGUUUCCAAAACACUGCCAAGUCCCUGAGA